rnacentral:rRNA from 1 species
AUUGAACGCUGGCGGCAGGCCUAACACAUGCAAGUCGAGCGGUUGAAUUUAUCUUUCUCCUGUUUUCAGCUUCCGACUGGUGUGUAAUUCCUAUGUAUCUGCCUGUUAUUUUUGUAUAACGUCCGUUAACGGGCCCUAAUACCCCAUACGUCCUUAGGUUGAAACUUUUGGUUCUUCGUUCCUCUCGCUAUCAUAUUAGCCUAGGUCGGAUUUGCUAUUUGGUUUGGUAAAGGCCUACCAAGGCUACGAUCCGUAACUGGUCUGAGAGGAUGAUCAGUCACACUGGAACUGAGACACGGUCCAGAAUCCUACGGGAGGAAGCAGUGGGGAAUAUUGGACAAUGGGCGAAAGCAUGAUACAGCAAAGCCGAGUGAGUGAAGAAGGUCUUCGGAUUGUAAAGCACUUUAAGUAGGGAGGAAGGGAAGUAAGAUAAAAACUAGAUGUAUUGACGUUACCAACAGAAUAAGCACCGGCUAACUACGUG